GCCUUUUACAUUUGCCUCUAUUUACCUGGACUGUACAGUUAAGCAUCAUAUGCUGGGUCAUUAACUAUUCAGGGCAUGUGGCGCCGUCGAAAUGACGUUAGCAACACACACUGUUAACAAGAGAAAACCAUGCAAACCUUUCCCGUGCUAUACAAACAGUAUUACUACGCUCAGUCUGAUUAUACGCAUUUUCCAAGAAAAGUCGUAGACGGUAACAAGAAAAAAAUGAAAAAGUGCAAAAAGAUGAAAUAAAAUUAUCAAGGUAAAUUUGAAUAUAAUUACAGGAAGUAAUUUAAUAUGCUGCAGUGGUAUAGCAGUAAUUAGUUCUCAUCGCUUCUUCACAGAAUAGGCCGAAAAUACAGCGUUAAACGGCCUGCAAUUUGGGAACUUUUAAAAUUGAAAUGCGAUCUACAAUGUAUACAGCGAUGGAAUAUUUUAACGCUAAUGACUUCACCAAUGAUUUAUACUACUAAUUACUGACGGACGUACACUUUUGAUGUGUAUACUAAACUAUAAAUAUUGUGUAACGGGAAAAUAUGGUGCUAACUCCUUUGCGACAUAUUUGGCGUGGUGUUCAUAGAUAUCACGUGAAGCUUAGCUAUGGACAUGUCCGUGAAGAUAAAGUUAACUUUAACUAGUAGAGACACAAACCAAUUAAAUUUUCAGCGUAAUGUUAACACGUUAACAAAGCUCUGUUGUACAGUUAACAGCAAAUAUUUAUUAAUAAAAAAACGAUUUUACCUCCAAA